CACGUAGGGCGCAAGCGUUGUCCGGAAUUAUUGGGCGUAAAGAGCUCGUAGGUGGUUUGCUGCGUCCGCUGUGAAAACCCAAGGCUUAACCUUGGGCUUGCAGUGGAUACGGGCAGACUAGAGGUAGGUAGGGGAGAAUGGAAUUCCCGGUGUAGCGGUGAAAUGCGCAGAUAUCGGGAGGAACACCGGUGGCGAAGGCGGUUCUCUGGGCAUUAACUGACGCUGAGGAGCGAAAGCAUGGGGAGCGAACAGG
rnacentral:rRNA from 1 species